UACGUAGGGGGCAAGCGUUGUCCGGAAUCAUUGGGCGUAAAGGGCGCGUAGGCGGCAUGACAAGUCACUUGUGAAAUCUCUAAGCUUAACUUAGAACGGUCAAGUGAUACUGACGUGCUAGAGUGCAGAAGGGGCAACCGGAAUUCUUGGUGUAGCGGUGAAAUGCGCAGAUAUCAGGAGGAACACCGGUGGCGAAGGCGGUUCUCUGGGCAUUACCUGACGCUGAGGAGCGAAAGCUAGGGGAGCAAACAGG
rnacentral:rRNA from 1 species